rnacentral:lncRNA from 1 species
UCGGUGUGAGAGGUGCAACGAUUCUUACUCUUAUGCUGUGGGCCAGCCACUGUCAAUGCGACAAGACUCAGCUUAUUCAUGUCAAUAAUUCUUUUGACACUCAUUUCACUGAAUUCUUUUUACUUAAUUUCGAGUGAACAUUGACUUGGCGUUUGCGCUCGGAACCAAUCGUGAAAUUACGGUAGUUCAUAAAUUUUAGCUAUAUCAAUAAACAAAACGGUGACAGGAACCUUUUAGUUAAGAAUAUUCUAUAUAAACUGAUACGUUUCGGAAAGUCUUGGCAUGACGCGCAGCCUCCUGGCGCUGCUGUCCCUGGUGGUUCUACAGUCGGUAGCCGAGCGCCUGCCGCGGGACGGCUGCUCGCAGGGAUGGGAACGAUGUGCUGGCCAAGGUCUGUGCGUGCCGUCAGGUUGUUCAGAUGAAAGUCUGCUGGAUCGCUCAGUCCCGUGCGGUG